CAACUGUUGUUGUGAGUCCGGGAAUGAGAAGGUUAUGGUCCUUCGAAACCGACCGCUAAUACUGCUGAUAGCGAUUUGUUCUUGCAGAAACAAAUGGUUAUAAGCCAGCAAAAGUCGCAUGAAAUUUGCCGUCGCACAAGAAAUGUGCACGAAAGGCCAGUUGGGCUGCAAAGGAUAGUGCGGGCGUCUAUAAA
rnacentral:ncRNA from 1 species